UACGUAGGGUGCGAGCGUUGUCCGGAAUUAUUGGGCGUAAAGAGCUUGUAGGCGGUCUGUCGCGUCUGCUGUGAAAACCCGAGGCUCAACCUCGGGCCUGCAGUGGGUACGGGCAGACUAGAGUGCGGUAGGGGAGAUUGGAAUUCCUGGUGUAGCGGUGGAAUGCGCAGAUAUCAGGAGGAACACCUACGGCGAAGGCAGCUCGCUGGGACGGUACUGACGCUGAGACGCGAAAGCGUGGGGAGCAAACAGG
rnacentral:rRNA from 1 species